GGGCAGGAGAAUACCACAUGGAGACACAGACACACGAGGGGAGGAUGCCUGCUGACCAUGGAGGCAGAAGUGGGACUGACGCAUCGAUCAGCUGAGGGAUGCCAAGCACUGCCAGCAAACACCAGAGGCUUGAUGGGGGCGAGUAUUCUCCUGUGCAGGUAUCAGAGGGAGCCUGGCCUUGCAGAUACCUUGAUUCCUGACUUCUGGCCUCUAAAAUGUCCAAUGUGAGUCAGGCAUCUCUCCUGGUGGCUGUCUUCCAUGUGGUGACUUAUGUAUCCAGGAUCCUUCUACUGUGUUUCUCCUCCAUUGCGAAGUCCUUCACUUCCAGCACCUGAGACAUUUUUUGGGUAUAUCUACAAGUGGCAUAUAUCACUUCUGCCCACAUUCACCUGGGUAGAACUCAAUCACAUUGUUUCACCUAACUGCAAGUGAGGCUGUGGAAUAUAGUCUCCCUAUGUGCCCAAGCAGAAGAAACAGGAUUGGUGAGCAUCUAGCCCAUCUCUACCACUAACAGUUUAUCCCCCCUAAUAAAUCAAUACACUGAUGAUCUAGUUUUGUCUUUGUUCUCUUGCGAAUGUUAUAGUGUGACUCUACAAUGUGUGAUUGCUCCUGGUGAAUCAAAAGGAUAAAGCUGCUGAUUCUGCAAUUUGAUAACCCAACCAUGCUGACCUCAAAGUGUAGUCAAUCCAUGAAGUUCCUCCCACCACAGCUCAUCCUGA
rnacentral:lncRNA from 1 species